AUUGAACGCUGGCGGCAGGCCUAACACAUGCAAGUCGAGCGGAUGAAGGGGGCUUGCUCCUGGAUUCAGCGGCGGACGGGUGAGUAAUGCGCAGGAAUCUACCUCGUAGUGGGGGAUAACGUCUCGAAAGGGGCGCUAAUACCGCAUACGUUCUGAGGAAGAAAGCAGGGGGACCUUCGGGCCGUUGCGCUAUGAGAUGAGCUUGCGUCCGAUUAGCUAGUUGGUGGGGUAAAGGGACCGUACCAAGGCGACGAUCGGUAACUGGUCUGAGAGGAUGAUCAGUCACACUGGAACUGAGACACGGUCCAGACUCCUACGGGAGGGCAGCAGUGGGGAA
rnacentral:rRNA from 1 species